UUUUUUCAUCAAUAUUUUGUAUUUUUAAAUAAUUUUCUUAAAAACUGCUAUUUUUAGAAAGUUUUCAUUUAUAUAUAAAUAUUAUAGAUUUGGGUUUGUGAUUUAGAAAUUAGGACUACAAGAAUAUUUGUGGACAGAUAAGUGUUCUUUCAGAUUUUUUCAUCAAUAUCUUGUAUUUUUAAAUAAUUUUCUUAAAAACUGCUAUUUUUAGAAAGUGUUCAUUUUAUAGAGAAAUAUUAUAGAUUUGAGUUUGUGGUUUAGAAGUUAAGAUCAAAA
rnacentral:lncRNA from 1 species